rnacentral:lncRNA from 1 species
UUUCUGCCGUUAGUUGCUCCAGGCAAAGGAAGCUUGAGCAGGUAACAUAGCGCCCACCUCAUUCAGAUUUGAUUUUUGCAGUAGUACAAAAUUCAUACCUGCCGCAUCACCAAUACGAGUACUCCAGGAAAAUGUGAGUGGGAAACAGAUUAUGUGCUUGAUAAAGUUUGUCCUUUGUAGAAUCACAUGCAAAUUUAGUACAUUGAUCUGCAAUGGGAAAUAAACAAGCUUCUCAUUCCAAAUCAGCAUUAUUUUGAGUUAUUACAAGGUUAGGAAUCAGAUUAUGUACUGAUAAUCAUUUUAUUUCAAGCUAAAUUGUAAUUGUUAGAUGGUCAUGUCUAUUAAUUUCCUAUAGACAACCCUUCUUGAGUUUCCUAUGGAUUUAUUACGGUUUCAAAAUGGUCAAGCAUUCAAGCUAGCAGCAGCAAAAAUUUGUCCCAACUAUUAAGCUACAAGAUUUAGCAAUGCAUGCUAUAUGUAGCAAUUUGGCCCCAAAAACCUGAACACCAUACCACAGAAAUUAGAAGACUUAGCAAAGCAUGCAUUCAUGUGACCAAGCAUCAUAUUGCAGUUACAAUACACAUAGAUUGAGUAAUAUAUCCUUGCUUUUUCAGGAGUCAGUCAAAAUAUGCAAGUAUGUGCACCCAGUUUGUUCAAGCCCCUUGCUCAGAAGUUGGUCUGGAGAUGCAAGAAUACAGGUAAACUGCAUAUAUAACUGCAUUUUUACGCAGAACUGAAAUCUCACAGAAACUACACUAAACUGGAUUGAGAUUAUUGAAAAAUGUUAAUUAAAUGUUAAAUGGAUAACUUUGUGAUAAUCUACACCAUAUCUUUAUGGACUAGGACCAAUCAAAACAACAUGCAGGAAUUGUUCAUCCUCAUGGAACCAAAAAACCAUCCAUCCACUUUCACUGCAAGUCAACACUGUACUGAGCUUUCCCUGUCCAUACACUUCCGAAACAGAAUGCCAGAUUGUUAAAUACUGACCAAGAUAACGAUAUUUAGAAACAAAUCACCUCACCCUCACCUCUUUCUGAUUAGUUUUUUGCUGCUGAACUAUUGCUGUCGGCUGUCGGAGUGCCUUUGCUGCUUGGGGUUCUUGCUUAACUUCCGCCUGCUGUGGAUGCCGCUUUGUGCUCGAGUUCUUGCUUAACUUCCGCCUGCUGUGGAUGCCGCUUUGUGUUUGGGUCUUUCCUUCUUGCUGCUGGUGUCGCUGUCUUUUUGUUGGCCAGGGGCAUGAUAUCUGGGGCAGCAGCCAAUCCUCCACGGGUGAAGUGAAGGUUUAUGUUUGUCACAAUUUCCAAUAUUAGCAUAGUAUGUAUUUGCAUGUUGCAAAGAUCUCAGUAUGAGGAGAUUUAGAUUCAUUCAACUCAACCAUUGACAGGCAGGGAGACAACAAAGGGGGCAGUAUAAUUGCAUCCCAUUAUUAUUUUUCUCUUUAUUAGAUGGCAUAUUGUUAUUUGUUCUAUAUAUACUUAACGUCCCCGUAUGGCUGCUUUUGAGAAAAAACCCGUAUUACCAUGUAUCCGUGUUUCUUAGUUCUUAUUCAUCCUAAGUUUUAGCAGAUUAAUUAAUCAUUUGCUUUUCUCAAUUUUAUUGUUUUGGAAAUUUUGUUCCUCUACCAUUUAUCAAGUACGGUUUGCGAGAGGUGGUUGCUAUUCAUACGUUCUAGUAUAUGUAAUACAAAAGGUACUUCUCAUUCAGUAUUUAAACGAUCUGGUGUCGUUCUAUUGCAUGGCAUUUGAAUUGCCCAAUGCUUGGUUGUGAGAGAUGAUAUCCAUCUCAGAAAGGAGAAAGGGUCACUGCUGGUCAAAUGCUUUGUGCCUAGGACUGAUAUGAACUUCUCUUCCACAACUAGACAAUUAUCCGAUCUAUUUCAAUUGUCUGGAUGUUAACUCGAG